UUAUUCAGAUUUAUCUGGAAAAGCUGAAACAUUAAGCCCUGGUGAAUGGCGGCCGUAACUAUAACGGUCCUAAGGUAGGAAAGAAAGCUGCCUUAGUAAAACUUGGCUAUAUGCUGGAAACUCUGUGUAUCUCACAAUACUAAUUUCUUUGUCAUUCUCGACUAAAUUGUCUUUCUGAUAAUUUACUAUUCGAGAAUCCAAGAUAAAUAAGUGACAAUUUGUGAGUGCAGACAAUCAGCAGGAAACCACGUAUGUUGAGUAGUGGAUAGGAUAAACAAUGUUUGUUGACGAUAUGCCUCAUCUUGUUAGUCCCGGACUCUUAAUCCGGUAAACGACAGGGUGUUGAAGACAUAGCAAUAAACAUUGCCUACUCACAGGGCGAUUCUUCCUAGGAGAAUCGCCUCUACUACUCAACAUAUGUUGGGAUCCUCAGAGACUACACGCCAAGCCAAUUUCUUUUGCCGAAGAAAUUGGAAGAUAUAGUCCGAUCUGCAUGGCGACAUGCAG
rfam:Bacterium GW2011_GWA1_44_22 VE96_C0007, whole genome shotgun sequence.